rnacentral:rRNA from 1 species
UGGGGAAUAUUGCACAAUGGAGGGAACUCUGAUGCAGCGACGCCGCGUGAACGAAGAAGGCUUUCGAGUCGUAAAGUUCUUUUAUAUGGGAAGAUAAUGACGGUACCAUAAGAAAAAGCCCCGGCUAACUACGUGCCAGCAGCCGCGGUAAUACGUAGGGGGCUAGCGUUGUACGGAAUCACUGGGCGUAAAGGGUUCGCAGGCGGAAAUGCAAGUCAGGUGUAAAAGGCAGUAGCUUAACUACUGUAAGCAUUUGAAACUGCAUAUCUUGAGAAGAGUAGAGGUAAGUGGAAUUUUUAGUGUAGCGGUGAAAUGCGUAGAUAUUAAAAAGAAUACCGGUGGCGAAGGCGGCUUACUGGGCUCAUUCUGACGCUGAGGAACGAAAGCGUGGGUAGCAAACAGG